CGUAUACUCCCUCCGUCCGGAAAUACUUGUCAACAAAAUAGAUAAAAGGGGAUGUAUCUAGAUGUAUUUUAGAUCUAGAUACAUCUUUUUUUAUCCAUUUUGAUGACAAGUAUUUUCGGACGAAGGGAGUAAUAA
rfam:Triticum aestivum genome assembly, contig: Triticum_aestivum_CS42_TGACv1_scaffold_147003_2BS